rnacentral:rRNA from 1 species
CGUAGGUGGCGAGCGUUGUCCGGAAUUAUUGGGCGUAAAGCGCGCGUAGGUGGGAUAUUAAGUCUAUUCUAAGAGUGCGGGGCUCAACCCCGUAAUGGGAUGGAAACUAAUAUUCUUGAGUACCGGAGAGGAAAGCGGAAUUCCCAGUGUAGCGGUGAAAUGCGUAGAUAUUGGGAGGAACACCAGUGGCGAAGGCGGCUUUCUGGACGGUGUCUGACACUGAGGCGCGAAAGCCAGGGGAGCGAACGGGAUUAGAUACCCCGGUAGUCCUGGCCGUAAACGAUGGGUACUAGGUGUAGGGGGUAUCGACCCCUCCUAUGCCGGAGUUAACGCAAUAAGUACCCCGCCUGGGGAGUACGGCCGCAAGGUUG